GACGAACGCUGGCGGCGUGCUUAACACAUGCAAGUCGAACGGAAAGGCCCCUUUGGGGGUACUCGAGUGGCGAACGGGUGAGUAACACGUGAGUAACCUGCCCUUGACUUCGGGAUAACUUCAGGAAACUGGGGCUAAUACCGGAUAGGAAUCCUUGCUGCAUGGUGGGGGUUGGAAAGCUUCGGCGGUUUUGGAUUGACUCGCGGCUUAACAGCUUGUUGGUGGGGUAGUGGCUUACCAAGGCUUUGACGGGUAGCCGGCCUGAGAGGGCGACCGGCCACAUUGGGACUGAGAUACGGCCCAGACUCCUACGGGAGGCAGCAGUGGGGAAUAUUGCACAAUGGGCGGAAGCCUGAUGCAGCAACGCCGCGGGCGGGAUGACGGCCUUCGGGUUGGAAACCGAUUUCAGCAGGGGCGAAGCUUGUGGUGACGGUACCUGCAGAAGAAGCACCGGCUAACUACGUG
rnacentral:rRNA from 1 species